UACGGAGGGGGCUAGCGUUGUUUGGAAUUACUGGGCGUAAAGCGCACGUAGGCGGCUUUGUAAGUUAGAGGUGAAAGCCCAGGGCUUAACCCUGGAAUUGCCUUUAAGACUGCAUCGCUAGAAUCGUGGAGAGGUGAGUGGAAUUCCGAGUGUAGAGGUGAAAUUCGUAGAUAUUCGGAAGAACACCAGUGGCGAAGGCGACUCACUGGACACGUAUUGACGCUGAGGUGCGAAAGCGUGGGGAGCAAACAGG
rnacentral:rRNA from 1 species